GAGUAACACGUGAGCAAUCUGCCUUUCAGAGGGGGAUACCGAUUGGAAACGAUCGUUAAUACCGCAUAAUAUAAUUGAACCGCAUGAUUUGAUUAUCAAAGAUUUAUCGCUGAAAGAUGAGCUCGCGUCUGAUUAGCUAGUUGGUAAGGUAACGGCUUACCAAGGCGACGAUCAGUAGCCGGACUGAGAGGUUGAUCGGCCACAUUGGGACUGAGACACGGCCCAGACUCCUACGGGAGGCAGCAGUGGGGAAUAUUGCACAAUGGAGGAAACUCUGAUGCAGCGAUGCCGCGUGAGGGAAGAAGGUUUUAGGAUUGUAAACCUCUGUCUUCAGGGACGAAAAAAGACGGUACCUGAGGAGGAAGCUCCGGCUAACUACGUGCCAGCAGCCGCGGUAAUACGUAGGGAGCGAGCGUUGUCCGGAAUUACUGGGUGUAAAGGGAGCGUAGGCGGGAUCGCAAGUCAGAUGUGAAAACUAUGGGCUUAACCCAUAAACUGCAUUUGAAACUGUGGUUCUUGAGUGAAGUAGAGGUAAGCGGAAUUCCUAGUGUAGCGGUGAAAUGCGUAGAUAUUAGGAGGAACAUCAGUGGCGAAGGCGGCUUACUGGGCUUUAACUGACGCUGAGGCUCGAAAGCGUGGGGAGCAAACAGGAUUAGAUACCCUGGUAGUCCACGCCGUAAACGAUGAUUACUAGGUGUGGGGGGACUGACCCCUUCCGUGCCGCAGCAAACGCAAUAAGUAAUCCACCUGGGGAGUACGACCGCAAGGUUGAAACUCAAAGGAAUUGACGGGGGCCCGCACAAGCAGUGGAGUAUGUGGAUUAAUUC
rnacentral:rRNA from 1 species